rnacentral:piRNA from 1 species
UGGCCAACAACUCACAGGAAACUAGACC